rnacentral:misc_RNA from 1 species
GAUGAAGAACGUAGCGAAAUGCGAUAAGUAAUGUGAAUUGCAGAAUUCAGUGAAUCAUCGAAUCUUUGAACGCACAUUGCGCCCCCUGGUAUUCCGGGGGGCAUGCCUGUUCGAGCGUCAUUUCACCACUCAAGCCUCGCUUGGUAUUGGGCAACGCGGUCCGCCGCGUGCCUCAAAUCGACCGGCUGGGUCUUCUGUCCCCUAAGCGUUGUGGAAACUAUUCGCUAAAGGGUGUUCGGGAGGCUACGCCGUAAAACAACCCUAUUUCUAAGGUUGACCUCGGAUCAGGUAGGGAUACCCGCUGAACUUAAGCAUAUCAAUAAGCGGAGGA